CUUUUUUAAGACAUAUGACAGCCUCUUUAAUAUUGACAUAUAAUGUCAGCAAUUUAUGUUACCUCUGUAUCUAGUUAUGUUAACUUAUGUUUUAUGUUAUAUUGCUGCCACAUACAUACCAACCACAAAUUUUUGCCAGAUGUAUGCCAGAGGAAAAGUUGAGACAUAUUUUACACACUCACUAGAUUACUGAUACCUAGAGAAUACAACCCCCAUCUUGGUCACCGUGAGUGUCUAAGCUUGGGGAAAAGUGUGGUCGGCCUGCAAGGUCACAAUACAUGAGAACCGCUCUGCAGCCAUACUGCCAGACCCCCUUACAGGAACUCUACCUCUGUCACUUAUGGGAAUCGAUUGAUUCUGGCUACAAGCCUAAUACAUGCAGCACCAUCUCCUCAACCAAGAGCAGAUGUAUACCUGCCUUUCUUGAUAUUAUUCUUGUUUUUUUGUGUUUAUCUUUUAAUUUAACAGUGGUUCCACCCUACGACCACUUCUAUAGCAUGUCAUAAAGUAAUCAUAUUCUUCUCUAUAAAUAGCUUAUGCUAUACUGGCAAUUUCCUAUGCUUUACCCUACUCAACCUAUCAAUACAUCUUAUGCUCAUGUCUAUCUAGUCCUGACAAAUGUUUCCUACACUAAUGUUGUUGAAAUAGACAGACCAGCCUAGCUUGUUUAUAAAACUUUAAAAAAGGGCUGUUUUUCAUGCCACUGUCUUAAACAUUG